rnacentral:lncRNA from 1 species
AGUGAUUUUUACCUCUUUGUAUUAUAGGAUUUUUAAAAAUGAAAAACAAGAUUCACUCGAAGUUAAUAAAAUGAAUCAGUGACCCAACUCUAUGUAGUCUCAAAAUAAUUAAUUCUAUCCAGGCUGCCAGGAUAAACAAAUGAAUAAAAAAAUUUAGAAGUUUACAUACAAGAAGGUAUUUUUACAACUACAGACAUCAAAAAAACAAAAAAGAGCUUUAGAUAAUGUGUUAUUUUCUAGAGCAUUUCUUGAAACUGUUUACUACAGUU